rnacentral:rRNA from 1 species
UACGUAGGUGGCAAGCGUUGUCCGGAAUUACUGGGUGUAAAGCGCGUGUAGGCGGGAGGCCAAGUCUGUGGUGAAAUCGCCUGGCUUAACUGGGCGGGGUCCAUGGAAACUGGUCACCUGGAGGUCGGUAGAGGCAAGUGGAAUUCCCGGUGUAGUGGUGAAAUGCGUAGAGAUCGGCAGGAACACCCAGGGGGAAACCAGCCGACUGGGCAUCUGCUGACGCUGAGGUGCGAGAGCGUGGGGAGCGAACCGG